CGGGUGAGCCGGGUGAUCGCUGGCUUGCCUUGAGCGUGCAGGGAAGGAGGGGCAACCCUUCAGCUCCUUGCGGCGCCUCAGGACAAGCGGGAGGAAAGUCCGGACACCGAGGUUUCCGGCCGCAGGGUCGGGAGCCGAUGGGCAACGCGCCUGAUAACGUCAGGGGAGCUGCGGCGCACGCCAUGCGUGCGGUGCGGUUCACGGAAAGUGCCACAGAAAAUAAACCGCCGGUGGAAUGGAGCUCGGUGGCAUCGCGCAGGGAAACCUGCAAGACGUCUCGAACGCUGAUUCCGCGGUAAGGGUGAAACGGUGGGGUAAGAGCCCACCGCUCGUUUGGCGACAAACGAGGCACGGAAAACCCCGCGUGGUGCAAGGCCAAAUAGGAGGGGAGAGCCGGCCCGGCUCGCUGAGUUAGCGUUUCGGAUUUUCCGGAACGCGCUCCUGUUCAAAUCGGCGCAAGCCGAUCUGAAUUGAGAACCCUCGGGUAGGCUGCUGGAGCCGUGAUGCAAAUCACGGCCUAGAGGAAUGAUCGCCGCGGCGCAAUCGCAAGAUUGCAUCGCACAGAAUCCGGCUUACAGGCUCGCCCGCUAU
rnacentral:RNase_P_RNA from 1 species